rnacentral:misc_RNA from 1 species
AAAAUGCGAUAAGUAGUGUAAAUUACAGAAUUCAGUAAAUCAUCGAAUCUUUAAACGCACAUUGCGCCCCUCGGUAUUCCGUAGGGCAUGCCUAUUCGAGCGUCAUCUACACCCUCAAGCUCUGCUUAGUGUUAGGCGUCUGUCCCGCCUUCGCGCGUGGACUCGCCCCAAAUGCAUUGGCAGCAGUCCUUGCCCCCUCCCGCGCAGCACAUUGCGCUUCUCGAGGCUGCGGCGGCCCACGUCCAACAAGCUGAACCCCCCCCGUCUUUAACCUCAGAUCAGAUAGGGAUACCCGCUGAACUUAAGC